rnacentral:rRNA from 1 species
AGAGUUUGAUCCUGGCUCAGAUUGAACGCUGGCGGCAUGCCUUACACAUGCAAGUCGAACGGCAGCACGGGAGCAAUCCUGGUGGCGAGUGGCGAACGGGUGAGUAAUAUAUCGGAACGUGCCCAGUCGUGGGGGAUAACGCAGCGAAAGCUGUGCUAAUACCGCAUACGAUCUCUGGAUGAAAGCGGGGGACUCGCAAGGGCCUCGCGCGAUUGGAGCGGCCGAUAUCAGAUUAGCUAGUUGGUGGGGUAAAAGCCCACCAAGGCGACGAUCUGUAGCUGGUCUGAGAGGACGACCAGCCACACUGGAACUGAGACACGGUCCAGACUCCUACGGGAGGCAGCAGUGGGGAAUUUUGGACAAUGGGCGCAAGCCUGAUCCAGCAAUGCCGCGUGCAGGAUGAAGGCCUUCGGGUUGUAAACUGCUUUUGUACGGAACGAAACGGCGAGC